GACCUGCGGCCGCCCGUGCCGGCGACGGGACAUUAUUACUUUUGGUACGCGCUGUGACACGUCAAACUCGUACCGUGAGUAAUAAUGCGCUGUCGGUGGCCCCGCGCCACGCCGUGGAC
rnacentral:pre_miRNA from 15 species